AUGACCUCACUUAAUGCAGGCUGUGACUUCCCAAGGCCACUGCUCAUUAGUAGCUGCUUCGUAUUACUUCCCAUGGCUCAGACAGGAUGAAACUGAAAGGGCUUUUCACAAGGACUCUACUGAGGCGAAUGUGAAGCUGAGCAUCUGAGCCUGGUGUGCAAGAAGGAAAGGGAACUUGGCAGAGGUACAAAAGGGGGAAACAGACUGACACUUGGUUGACUUUCUCCCUGGCCCAGCUGGUGUGAUCUUGGGCAAGCCACUGGACAUCCCUGCACUUGUUUCCUCAUCUGUCAAACCAAGGAUUCCUGGGACAAGAAGAAAAGAACAGAAUCAUCUGGGAGCAGGAGGUAGGUCCUUCUUCCUAUGGUCAGCCACAAUCACCUGAUUUUGCAAGGUCCCUAGUCUCUGUCAACCACUUCCUAACUCAUCUCUCAAGGCUGUGCCUCACCCACAGUGAAACCCAGAAGGACUGAGCAGGCCACACUGUUUCGCUGAUUUAAUUGUCAUCAUAACCCAUAUGAAGGCACUGAUAAGAUCGCUAUUGUAAUAGAGGGAAUAGAGCAGGCAGCUCACUCAAGGCCACACAGAUGAGAAGUGGAGGAGCCCUAGAGUUCAGCUCCUGAUUGUUCAGCUACCCUGACUCGUAAAUGGGCUGCACAUGGCUCCUGCGCCCUGAUCACACCUCUGUGACAGUGUGGAUUCUAAUUGCUAGGUGUCUUUCUCCCUUUCUAUCAGUACCAUUUCAAGUGUGGACAGUAUGUCUUUUUUCCCCUUCUGUAGCCCCAGGGCCAAGCACAAAAUCUGACAUGGAGUAGACACUGAUACUUAUUUAUAGAGAUGAAUGAGGUAGUCACAGUCUCCUCUCACCAACAUGAAGUCAGGAGACUGGAGUUUGUGCCUGGUUCUGCUCCUAACGGGCUGGUCCCAGAUCUUGCACAGUCUCCACACUUUAACUGCCCUGCAGCUCAAUGGGGAGAUUGACCUCAGUGACUGGGAAGCUUCCACCCAACUUAUGUUGUUUUCAUUCCAGAUCAUUCUUCCCCCACCUGCUUAUUGUCACAGCUUCCAAACUGGCUGCCUCUUGCCUUCCAGCCUGCAGCCUGAGAGGGUUUUGGCUUUUAUGGGUCACACGAAUCUUCUCUCAAGCUGCCACUUGUUAGCUUUGCCAAAGCUAUCAAAUGGAUUGCUUCAAUUUUUGAUGUCGUCUAAUGAAUUACUUUUCCACUUUAAAGUUGGUGCUUUUUUUAGGUUUUAGGAAAUCCUUUCCUGAAAGGUGAACUGGAAAGGUGAGGAUCGAACCCAGUGCCUCACAUAUGCUAGGCGAGUGCUCUACCUCUGAGCCACAACCCCAGUCCUAUUUUGGCUUUUCUUUGUUUUUUAUUUUUAUGUGGUGCUGAGGAUUGAACCCAGUGCCUCACAUAUGCUAGGUGAGACCUCUACCACUGAGCCCUAUUUUGGCUUUUCUGACACAUGUGGCCAAGGCUAAUUUUAAUCACCACUCACAGAUCAGCUAAUGAAUUCCUGCCUCAGCUCUGUGGGCUCCAUUUACCUGUUUCUGUGCCAACACCACACAGUUUUAGAUGUUACAGUUUUCUAGUUUAACUUAAUAUCUGGUAAACUCAUUUUCUGUGUUCUUAUUUUAAAGAUUGCCUUAGCUAUUUAUAAACCUUCAUUUCAUUAUAAACUUUAUAAUUAGUUUGUCAACUUCCCCUUAAAACAUGCUGUGGUUUUGACAGGCAUGCACUGUACUUUUUGCAGAAGGUACGUGACAUGGUUACCAUGUUUAGUUGUCCUACCCUGAAAGAGUCGGAUUGAGUUAUUAUUGGAAGUGCAGAUGUGAUCAUGGCACUUGCCUGCUUGAAACCUCUCAGAGGCUUGACAUUUGCCUCUGGAUGAAGUCCAAAGUCCUAAUCUACCCUGGGCUCCAGCUGCUCAGCCCCCAGCUUUGGCUUUGACUACUCUUUCCUUCAUCUCAUUCUCUGCUCAAAUCACAGUGGACCUUCUUAUCUCCAAUUACCCUUCUUGGAGGCUUCAGCUCUUCCACAGGUACUAUGCCCUCUGCUGGAAUUUUUUGAGACCCAGAGUUAUCUUGCAGACCUCUGAGACUCAGGCCAGGGAUCUUCUCCCCAGGGAUGCCCUGAAUCACCGAGUGCUGUGUUCUUCCUCUGCUUCCAUGGUGUUCUGCACCUCCCACUGUGAUGGUGUGGCCAGUGCACAGCAAUGCAAUUACCUGUUGUACACGACUGGGAAAAGUUAAACAAAUGUACUGAAUACUGUCAAAGGACCAUGGUGAAUCAGUUCCAGGGAAGUUAUCUUCAAUAUGGAAAAUACUUUAUGCACAAAUAUCUUCACUACAGCAUUAUUUAUAAUGUUGGAAAUUUGAAUUAAUCUAAAGGUCUGAAAGAGGAGAUGGACUGAGCAAACCUAAGCAUGUCCAAUCCAGGAAUAUUACACAGCCCAUGGAAACUAUGCCUGUGAAGACAUGUGGUGAUGUGGGGACACUCGUGGAGUAAUGCUCGCUUAAAAAGACUGGUCAUCUUCAGUAAUCUAAGUGUGCUAACAAAAUAAAGCUAUACAUGAUAAAGAAAGCAAAUUCAAAUAUUAACAAGUGGUUAUAUUUGUUUAUGGGAUCACCCUGACUUUUUCUACCUUUGUCUAUUUCCCAAAUUUUUACAGGGAAGAAAUCUGGACUUGUUUGUAAUGAAUACAUGGAAAAUAAGCUCAGUUGGGGAACUUUGGAAGCCAAAAGUUGCUUCAAGCUUUCCAAACUUGCAAAUGCUUUGGCUUAACUUUUGUUUCAUAAAUCCAGGCCCCUCAGUAGGUACUUGGGAUGAAGGCUAAGUACAGCAGGCUCCUUGAGUCUGGGUGUGUAAAGGCCCUGUCACUGACCUUGGGAAGGAAACUAGCAGAGAAUGCCAUUUCUUCCAAGUGUCUUUCUGAGUAGGCACUAUUUUCCAGCGGGCAAUUUUCUACCUUAUG